rnacentral:lncRNA from 1 species
AAAUAAACCUUUAUGGGUGUUUAAUGUAAGUAAAUGUUUCAUUUCAUCUUUUAUUGGCAAGUGUAAGUAAGCUUUCGUAAUAUCUAUUUUUGUAUAUUUGUCCCCACCUGCUAAUUGGGAAAGUAGGUCAUCUGGUGUAGGUAAAGGGUAUUCAUCCACUUCAAUGCAAGGGUUUAAUGUGAUUUUAAAAUCACCACAAAUGCGUAUGUCCCCAUUUUGUUUAACUACAGGAACAAUAGGAGUUGCCCAGUCCGAAAAUGCUACUUU